AAAUAAACAUAAAUGAAUCAAAACUUUCAACAACGGAUCUCUUGGUUCUGGCAUCGAUGAAGAACGCAGCGAAAUGCGAUAAGUAAUGUGAAUUGCAGAAUUCAGUGAAUCAUCGAAUCUUUGAACGCACAUUGCGCCCUCUGGUAU
rnacentral:rRNA from 1 species